CAAGCGUUGUUCGGAAUUAUUGGGCGUAAAGGGUGCGUAGGUGGUUCGGCAAGUCUUGUGUGAAAUCUUCAGGCUCAACUUGAAGUCUGCACAAGAAACUGCCGGGCUUGAGUAUGGGAGAGGUGAGUGGAAUUCCUGGUGUAGCGGUGAAAUGCGUAGAUAUCAGGAGGAACACCUGUGGCGAAAGCGGCUCACUGGACCAUAACUGACGCUGAUGCACGAAAGCUAGGGGAGCAAACAGG
rnacentral:rRNA from 1 species